CUCACCUCUGACGGCGUUACAUCGUGCUGCUCCGCACGAAUUUCUACAAGACCAUUAACAUCUUUGAAAAGCGUCAAGAUGCACUUUGAGCGUGCUACUGCUUACACCUUGCUCGCAUGCAAGCUAAAAAGUUUGCAAUGGCGUUGGCAUCGACGUCUUCUACGGCCAUAUUGUGCACCAAAACGGCGGACGCGCGAAUGCGCCAUUUUGCCGAAGGCACAGCAACAAAAGGACCAGAUUGACUGCAAAAAGGCAAAAUAAUCCCGUUUUUAUUUAAACGACAUUUGCUAUUAGACUAACUAAAUCAAGAUUUGUUUUUCUUUCUCCAGGUUCGAAAAUGGCCGACUUGCUGUCAUUUUGAGGCAUGGCGACUUCAUGAGACGUUUGCAGGUCUUGCUAAGCACGUCUACCAAAAGUCACGUCGCUAAGCCAAACCGGCUCGUAAGGCAGAAAGUUAAAAAUAGAAUUGUUACCAUCUCUUUCAGGUCGGU